rnacentral:rRNA from 1 species
UACGUAGGGUGCGAGCGUUAAUCGGAAUUACUGGGCGUAAAGCGUGCGCAGGCGGUUCGUUGUGUCGGUGGUGAAAUCCCCGGGCUUAACCUGGGAAUGGCCAUGGAAACUGGCGAACUGGAGUGUGGCAGAGGGGGGUGGAAUUCCGCGUGUAGCAGUGAAAUGCGUAGAGAUGCGGAGGAACACCGAUGGCGAAGGCAGCCCCCUGGGCUAACACUGACGCUCAUGCACGAAAGCGUGGGGAGCAAACAGG